UACGGAGGGUGCAAGCGUUAUCCGGAUUCACUGGGUUUAAAGGGUGCGUAGGUGGCAUGGUAAGUCAGUGGUGAAAUCUCCAAGCUUAACUUGGAAACUGCCGUUGAUACUAUCAUUCUUGAAUAUCGUGGAGGUAAGCGGAAUAUGUCAUGUAGCGGUGAAAUGCUUAGAUAUGACAUAGAACACCGAUUGCGAAGGCAGCUUGCUACACGAUCAUUGACACUGAGGCACGAAAGCGUGGGGAUCAAACAGG
rnacentral:rRNA from 1 species